GACAGAGGGGGCAAGCGUUGCUCGGAAUUACUGGGCGUAAAGGGCGCGUAGGCGGGGGGUCAAGUCCGAGGUGAAAUCUUUCGGCUCAACCGGAAAAGUGCCUUGGAUACGGACUCUCUCGAGGGAGGUAGGGGCAUGUGGAACUUCCGGUGGAGCGGUGAAAUGCGUAGAUAUCGGAAGGAACGCCGGUGGCGAAAGCGGCUCACUGGACCAUAACUGACGCUGAGGCACGAAAGCUAGGGGAGCAAACAGG
rnacentral:rRNA from 1 species